UACGUAGGGGGCUAGCGUUGUCCGGAAUCAUUGGGCGUAAAGCGCGUGUAGGCGGCCCGGUAAGUCCGCUGUGAAAGUCGGGGGCUCAACCCUCGAAUGCCGGUGGAUACUGUCGGGCUCGAGUGCGGAAGAGGCGAGUGGAAUUCCUGGUGUAGCGGUGGAAUGCGCAGAUAUCAGGAGGAACACCAAUAGCGAAGGCAGCUCGCUGGGACGGUACUGACGCUAAGGCGCGAAAGCGUGGGGAGCGAACAGG
rnacentral:rRNA from 1 species